GAAUGUGUUUUUUCGAUGAGAUUAAAAGUAAAGUCAGUGGACUCUGAAUAGAGCAGGUUUACCCUCCAUAAUCCAUGGGAACCUCUUUCAAUUAGUUGAAGAUAUUAAUAUGACAAAAGCGGAGAAGGAAUUCUACGAAGACUGAGUCUAACAGCUGCCAGACUACUCCAGCAGACCCUGAACUCUGCUGUGUGGUGUGAGCCAAUCCCAAUUCCUGAAAGAUCAUUCUCAAAUACACAUGAGCUGAAAGUAUAACAUCUUAGAAGAAAACACACAUCUUGACGACCUUAGAUGAUCUGGCAAUCAUAUAUAUAAUAUGGAUCAAUUGGAACCCUUAUAGGAUGCUGGUGGAAAUGGAAAACAGUAUAGCCACUGUGGAACACUAUUUGAUGGCUCUUCCAAAAGUGGAACAAAAUGACCACAUGACCUAGGGAUUCCACUCCGAGGUAUACACCCCAAGAGAACUCAAGACUUGUUCAAACCCAAACUUGUCUGAGAAUAUUCACGGCAGCACUACUGACUGGGGCCAAGGAGUAGAAACCACCCAAAUAUUCCUCGGGAUUAACAAUCUGUGGCAUGUCCGCACAAUAGGAUGCCAUUCAACCAUAAAAAGCCCCGAAAUUCUGAUACAUGCUGUGCUGUGCCUAAACCAACAUCAGGAAAGAAGCUGGACACAAAAGUGGUCAGGUGAGUGGUUGCCAGGUGGCACAUGGGAUGACCAGGUGCUGGGAGCGAGGGAUAUAUGAGGAGUGGCUGCUCAUGGAUGUGGGGUUUCCGAGAGGGGGAUGAGAAUAUUCUGGAACUAGUGGAUGGUGAGGGUUGUGCAACGACACAAAGGUACUUAGAAGAAAACACACAUCUUGACAACCUUAGAUCUGGCAAUCAUAUAUAUAAUAUGGAUCAACUGGCUGUGUUCUCUGCUUCUUCCUCAGCAUGGCCCACCUGAAGUUUGCCUCCUUGAGGGACCCCUGGCCUCCUGAUGGCUGAGAACUACUCAGUAUGCAGGUCACUGCUCUCACCUGCACCCAGCUCCGCCCCCUUUCCCCAGCUCCCUCACCCAAGCAUCUAGCUAGCCACUGGCAUCUCAUCCUCUGGAUUUUCCCAGGCAGGGAUCCAUCUAGGCCGACAGGGAUACCUUCUGAGCUCCAGUGAGGUCUUUUCUCUAACAUCCAAGGAAGGGAUUGGUAGGGAAUCAAACAUACCACUGGCUUUCUAGAGCAAUUUUUCCCCCAAAUUCUCUUCCUUCCCCUCUAACUCCUUACCUUAGGUGGAGGCACUAAAAGGGUUGCAGGGUUUCGUUCGUGGGAUCCAG
rnacentral:lncRNA from 1 species